rnacentral:rRNA from 1 species
CACAGAGUUAGCCGGUGCUUGCUAAGGAGGUACCGUCAUCGAGCUGGAUAUUAGCCAACCCUUAUUCUUCCCUCCCCACAGAGCUUUACAACCCGAAGGCCUUCAUCGCUCACGCGGCGUCGCUGCGUCAGGCUUUCGCCCAUUGCGCAAGAUUCCCCACUGCUGCCUCCCGUAGGAGUCUGGACCGUGUGUCAGUUCCAGUGUGGCUGUUCAUCCUCUCAGACCAGCUACCCGUCUUUGGCUUGGUGGGCCAUUACCCCGCCAACUACCUGAUGGGCCGCAGGCUCAUCCUCCAGCGCAAGCUUACAUGUAGAGGCCUGCUUUGGCCGCAAGCUCCGAGGAGCUCGUGGUCUCAUGCUGUAUUAGCUCUCCGUUUCGGAGGUUAUCCACCUACUUGGAGGGGAGUAUUACCUACGUGUUACUCGACCGUGCCGCCACGUUUACCGGGCC